UUUUGGUCUUGGUGUGAGUUAUUUUACGUUGCAGUAUUAAUUUAGAGCAACUUUUAGCUUUAUGAGAAUAUUAGACGAUUAGACAUUGAGAAACUCUGUUUUGAAUUCUCUUUAGACAUAACUUGGCUCCAAUACUUUUUUCUUCGUUAGCGUUUCGUAAGCCUGUGUAACUAUUUUCAUUUCUUACAGAAUGUUUAUUAUUAAAAAUCAGCAUGCCUCGAAGAUCGAAAAUGAAAUGCUAUUUCGGAUGCCUUGAUAACGUCAAAGGUUUGAUAAUGACAAAAUUUUAUGGAAAAAUUAUAAGGAGCACUAAAAUGUCUGAAACAUGAAAAGAUUGAUGCACUAUAUUUGAACCAGAACGUGUUAUGUAAUAUAUUAAUUUAAGAGAAACUGAUUCAGCAAGGAACGUGAACUCUCAAGGGAUCUUAAUUUUUUUUAAAUAUGUUUAUAAUUGAUAAAUUAAUAAUUGAAAUAGUUCAUAAGAACUAAAUUGAUGCCAAUUUUGUUUUAAAAUAGGUUGUUUAGUUCUUAUAGUUAUAGUAUUACGUUUGAAUAGUUGUAAUUAGUAAGUUAGUAAUAUAUGAAAAUACUGAUAUAAAUUUUUGUAAAUAACCUUUUGUAAAUUCUACGAGAAGAUGAUUUUAAUUAAUGAUCAAAAGUCAACGGUCUUUAAAAGCAUUAUUUGCAAUUAUUUAGAUUAACUGUGGAAUAUAUUUGCUAAGUUGUGUUUUCUGUAUGAGCAGAUAUAAAUGAAAAUGCCCAAACAUGAUUAUGUUUCUUACAUUUUCAUUAUGUGAAAUCAAUAUGCUUGUGACUGAGUAUAUUAAUAAUUUAUUAAAACUUAAGUGAUAGACAGCAACCCCUAUGGCACUGCUGAAGUUUAUAAGCACUGGUGACCACUUAUCAUGGGCCGGGUUGCGUGCUCGUCUGCUGUUGAGUGCAAUAAAAAUUUUCGAAACCCUUUCUAUUAUUUAGAUGUAAUAUUAGUGUACAUUUAAUUUGGAUUAAAAGAUAAAUUUACAUUUUAUGUUUGCAUGUGUAUGUUUAUAAUUCAUUUGCAUGUAACGAACACCAGUUUCUUUUGUAACAAAAUGUAAACUAAUGGUUUGUAAUGAAUGUAAUUAACUUUAAGAUGAUUUUCUUUCAAUCUGCUGUUUGUUUCAUCUAGUAUUACCAAAGCUAAAGCAUCAGAAACGUCAGAAUAGAAAUAAUUUAGAUAGGGAAUAAAAGUAUAACUAAUGUAAUCAUGUCUAAGAUUACUAUAAGCGUCAUUAAGUACAAACUAUCAAUAUUUAAGAGUACUUUAAAUCAUCAUUACAUUUUUUAAACAUUUUUUGUUUUUCAAAUCAUGUAAUAAAACGUUUGUGCAGAACAAAAUGUCACAUGUUAUGAACAUGAUUGUGGGUUAAUCGUUUCUUAAAUUUCUAAAUGUUUAUAAGAAUGCUAAGAAUAAUUUAGUAUUCACUUUAGUGUGUGUAUUAUCUCUACAAUGCUAGUAUAAAUGACAAUUAUUGUAUGACGAAGCAUAGGUAGUGUUUAUAGAUGUAAUAUUUUCAUACAAGGUCAUGAUCUGUCACGAUCAACUUUAAGCAAGAACUGCUAUCGUUAAGAAACAAAUUUAUUAAAUUUAAUUCAAAUUGUCUACUAUGUUUGUAAUGGAAAGCUGACAUGUUUAUAUUUCGCACAAAUGACUUAAUUGACAUUGAAUGAUUUGAUUAUCUAGACUUAAUUAACUUUUAGAUAACUUUCGAUUUAAUGUGUACGCUAGUAGGAUUAAUCUAGAGGAGUUAUUGUUAUUCGAAAUUUUAUACAAUUGUACGUUCAUACUAUCUUUUAACAGUAAAUUGUUUGUAAUAUAGGGAAAUUAAAUAGCUUACAGAGAA